rnacentral:rRNA from 1 species
GAUGAACGCUGGCGGCGUGCCUAAUACAUGCAAGUCGAGCGAACAGACGAGGAGCUUGCUCCUCUGACGUUAGCGGCGGACGGGUGAGUAACACGUGGAUAACCUCCCUAUAAGACUGGGAUAACUUCGGGAAACCGGAGCUAAUACCGGAUAAUAUCUUGAACCGCAUGGUUCAAUAGUGAAAGACGGUUUUGCUGUCACUUAUAGAUGGAUCCGCGCCGCAUUAGCUAGUUGGUAAGGUAACGGCUUACCAAGGCAACGAUGCGUAGCCGACCUGAGAGGGGGAUCGGCCACACUGGAGCGUAGACACGGUCCAGACGCCUAAGGGAGGCAGCAGUAGGGAAUCGUCCGCAAUGGGCGAAAGCCUGACGGAGCAACGCCGCGUGAGUGAUGAAGGUCUUCGGAUCGUAAAACUCUGUUAUUAGGGAAGAACAAAUGUGUAAGUAACUAUGCACGUCUUGACGGUACCUAAUCAGAAAGCCACGGCUAACUACGUG